rnacentral:rRNA from 1 species
UACGGAGGGGGCUAGCGUUGUUCGGAAUUACUGGGCGUAAAGCGCACGUAGGCGGCUUUGUAAGUUAGAGGUGAAAGCCCGGGGCUCAACUCCGGAAUUGCCUUUAAGACUGCAUCGCUAGAAUUGUGGAGAGGUAAGUGGAAUUCCGAGUGUAGAGGUGAAAUUCGUAGAUAUUCGGAAGAACACCAGUGGCGAAGGCGGACUUACUGGACACAUAUUGACGCUGAGGUGC